rnacentral:rRNA from 1 species
GACGAACGCUGGCGGCGUGCUUAACACAUGCAAGUCGAACGGAAAGGCCCUGCUUUUGUGGGGUGCUCGAGUGGCGAACGGGUGAGUAACACGUGAGUAACCUGCCCUUGACUUUGGGAUAACUUCAGGAAACUGGGGCUAAUAUCGGAUAGGAGCUCCUGCUGCAUGGUGGGGGUUGGAAAGUUUCGGCGGUUGGGGAUGGACUCGCGGCUUAUCAGCUUGUUGGUGGGGUAGUGGCUUACCAAGGCUUUGACGGGUAGCCGGCCUGAGAGGGUGACCGGCCACAUUGGGACUGAGAUACGGCCCAGACUCCUACGGGAGGCAGCAGUGGGGAAUAUUGCACAAUGGGCGGAAGCCUGAUGCAGCAACGCCGCGUGCGGGAUGACGGCCUUCGGGUUGUAAACCGCUUUCGCCCGUGACGAAGCGUGAGUGACGGUAAUGGGCAAAGAAGCACCGGCUAACUACGUG